ACUGGGCGUAAAGAGCGUGUAGGCGGGUAAAUAAGUUGGAAGUGAAAUCCUAUGGCUCAACCAUAGAACUGCUUCCAAAACUGUUAACCUAGAAUGUGGGAGAGGUAGAUGGAAUUUCUGGUGUAGGGGUAAAAUCCGUAGAUAUCAGAAGGAAUACCGAUUGCGAAGGCGAUCUACUGGAACACAAUUGACGCUGAGACGCGAAAGCGUGGGGAGCAAACAGGAUUAGAUACCCUGGUAGUCCACGCCCUAAACGAUGUACACUAGUUGUUGUGAGGCUAGACCUUGCAGUAAUGCAGUUAACACAUUAAGUGUACCGCCUGGGGAGUACGGUCGCAAGAUUAAAACUCAAAGGAAUAGACGGGGACCCGCACAAGCGGUGGAGCAUGUGGUUUAAUUCGACGAUACGCGAAGAACCUUACCUGGUCUUGACAUAGAAAGAACUUUCCAGAGAUGGAUUGGUGCCUGCUUGCAGGAGCUUUCAUACAGGUGCUGCACGGCUGUCGUCAGCUCGUGUCGUGAGAUGUUGGGUUAAGUCCCGCAACGAGCGCAACCCUCGUCGUUAGUUGCUAACAGUUCGGCUGAGAACUCUAACGAGACUGCCUACGCAAGUAGGAGGAAGGUGAGGACGACGUCAAGUCAUCAUGGCCCUUACGACCAGGGCUACACACGUGCUACAAUGGGGUAUACAAAGAGCAGCAAUACGGUGACGUGGAGCGAAUCUCAAAAAUGCCUCCCAGUUCGGAUUGUAGUCUGCAACUCGACUACAUGAAGUUGGAAUCGCUAGUAAUCGUAGAUCAGCUAUGCUACGGUGAAUACGU
rnacentral:rRNA from 1 species